UGGGAACAUUUCCCUUUUAAAAGAUAGUAAUACUUUCUCCAAUUGAAAACAUUUUUUUAACUUUUUAAAAUUUGGGCCACCUAUAUGCAAGUAUAUGUUGUUAAGAGAGGAAGAAAGAAUGUGUGUUAUACUGUACCUGUGAAUGUUGAUGAAGUCUCAAUUCAUUUGACGUGGUUACAAUUUUAGAACAUAUUCAAGGAAAUGAAAACUGGCCAUUACUGGAGCCAGAAUUGUUAUGACAUUAACCUUUCUGUUGAGAAGCUUUUGAGGAAAGAACUUGUGUUUGUACAUGAAGAUGAGAGAUGGUAAUGCUUAAUUUAGUUUUAGGAAAUAGGCAGAGUUUAGUGAAUGCUGUUGUGGAGAUGCGGAGAUUCAUUUCUCUCAGACGUCUUCAUCUUAGUAGCAACCGGUUCCUUAUAGAACUGUGAAGCCAAAUGGCCGAGUGGCAGGCACUGUUAAAGGACUCUGCAUGCCACUAUAAAACCUUGGGGUGGAUUAUCCUGCCAACGAGAAAACCUCCUAUUCAGAGAGCACCUACCUUUAGCUAUAGAACUAGAUUUUUUUUUCAUCUUGUGUUUUUCUUAGAUCAUUUGAAUAUUUCAGGUCAGUUGUAAACUUUAGAAAUAUAAAGGGCAAAAGUACAAAAAUCUUCUAUUUUUCCAAAUGUAAUUGGUUGUGUAUGAUAUCUGAAGGGUAAUUUUAUUUUGGAAUAAGCAAAGGAAAAACCUGGUCGGUCAUUUUUAUGAGGGCUGAAUGCAUUGUAUUUCCUGGUCUAGUGACUCAUAACAUUUACACUAAUUGUCGAUAGAUUUUUCCCGAGAAGUGUGAGUAGAAUUGUUUCUAUUAACCACUAGUGUCGUGUUCACUUUAAUGUAAUAUAAUUGACUGCAGUGAAAUGUCUUGUGGUUAAAAGAUACUUUUCUUUUUCGUACAAUCUUUAGGAAUACAUGGACCUAAAAUUCAUUAACUUAACUUCAUCACAGUGACUUUUAAGAUUUAAAUAUUUCUUCUUAGUGUCUUAUUUACUAAAAAGAAAUAGCUGGAAAGAAUUUAAUGGUCAGUGAAAUUCAUUACUAUUUUCCAUGCAGGGAAAUUUUUUGUUCCAGAUAUUAUAAUUUUCCUGAAGACUCUGUAAAUCCAAAUUUAAUUUUUAAUGGGAUCAUUGCAAAGGAUUAUAGAGAUGAUUAGAGGUUCUAAUCUUCAUGAUCACCUAUAAAAUGCUAUCUUUAUAUUUCUGCUUAUAAGUAAAUUUUUUUAUAUUAAAAUGUUUCAAUUGUUUGGAGCAGUAAAAUGAGUGGUAUGUCUGAUUCUAAUCCUUAUUUAGGUGUUGGUACCAGUUGCCCAGGGAAAAUGUGGAGUAACUUUGUUUUGUAUGCUGAGGUUUAGGAAUAGUGAAUGAAGGGUAUCCCUAUGUAAAUUAAGUGCUCAACAAUGUGCAGUGAUUGUAAAUUUAGUAACAAUCAAUUCAUGAAUGCUGUACCUUUCUACAUUGUGUCUAUUACAAAACACCUCUCUUAUCCAUGUGUUCGGGUAUUGCUGUUGACAUUUACCAUGAUAUUUAUUUUAACCAAAAUGUUAUUCACAUUAAAUGUUUAUUCUUUAAAAUGAAUGUAUUGUUUAUAACAGAUGCAUAAUUUCAAUAGUACUGUAAUGAGUUUUGUGAAAUAUUUUAUUUUGUUAUGCUUUAAAUACACCAAAAUUCUGUUACUAGCUUUGAAAAUUGUACAAUAUCCUAAUAUAAAUAUAUAAAAAUAAAAAAUUAGUACUGUAAAA
ensembl:lncRNA